UACAGAGGGUGCGAGCGUUUAAUCGGAAUUACUGGGCGUAAAGCGUGCGUAGACGGUCAUGUAAGUCGGAUGUGAAAGCCCCGGGCUCAACCUGGGAAUUGCAUUCGAGACUGCAUGGCUUGGGUGCGGAAGAGGGAAGCGGAAUUUCCGGUGUAGCGGUGAAAUGCGGUAGAUAUCGGAAGGAACACCAGUGGCGAAAGCGGCUUCCUGGUCCGACACCGGCGUCAGGCACGAAAGCGUGGGGAGCAACAGG
rnacentral:rRNA from 1 species